rnacentral:tRNA from 1 species
GAGGAUGUAGCUUAGUGGUAGAGCACAUGCUUAGCAUGCAUAAGGUCCUGGCUUCAAUCCCCAGUACCUCCA